AGCCCAUCUCUGACCUUAGCUCUGUGAGCUGAUUCCACCAGUGACUGAGCACAGACCACCACCAUGGAGCUGGGGCUGCGCUGGGUUCUCCUUGUUGCUCUGUUGAAAGGUGUGCAGUGUGAUGUGCAGCUGGUGGAGUCUGGGGGAGGCUUGGUGCAGCCUGGGGGGUCCCUGAGACUCUCCUGUGCGGCCUCCGGAUUCACCUUCAGUAGCUAUGGCAUGAACUGGGUCCGCCAGGCUCCAGGGAAGGGGCUGGAGUGGCUCUCAUACAUCAGUAGUGAUAGUAGUAGCAUAUACUAUGCAGACUCUGCGAAGGGCCGCUUCAUCACCUCCAGAGACAACAGCAAGAACACACUUUACCUGCAGAUGAACAGCCUGAGAGUGGAGGACACGGCCGUCUAUUACUGUGCUAGAGACACAAGUGCCUAUUAAUCUUUUACUGCU